CCGACACAGGUGGUUGGGUAGAGAAUACCAAGGCGCUUGAGAGAACUCGGGUGAAGGAACUAGGCAAAAUGGCACCGUAACUUCGGGAGAAGGUGCGCCGGUGAGGGUGAAGCAUUUACUGCGUAAGCCGACGCCGGUCGAAGAUACCAGGCCGCUGCGACUGUUUAUUAAAAACACAGCACUCUGCAAACACGAAAGUGGACGUAUAGGGUGUGACGCCUGCCCGGUGCCGGAAGGUUAAUUGAUGGGGUUAGCGCAAGCAAAGCUCUUGAUCGAAGCCCCGGUAAACGGCGGCCGUAACUAUAACGGUCCUAAGGUAGCGAAAUUCCUUGUCGGGUAAGUUCCGACCUGCACGAAUGGCGUAACGAUGGCGGCGCUGUCUCCACCCGAGACUCAGUGAAAUUGAAAUCGCUGUGAAGAUGCAGUGUAUCCGCGGCUAGACGGAAAGACCCCGUGAACCUUUACUAUAGCUUUGCACUGGACUUUGAAUUUGCUUGUGUAGGAUAGGUGGGAGGCUUUGAAGCGUGGACGCCAGUCUGCGUGGAGCCAACCUUGAAAUACCACCCUGGCAACUUUGAGGUUCUAACUCAGGUCCGUUAUCCGGAUCGAGGACAGUGUAUGGUGGGUAGUUUGACUGGGGCGGUCUCCUCCUAAAGAGUAACGGAGGAGUACGAAGGUGCGCUCAGACCGGUCGGAAAUCGGUCGUAGAGUAUAAAGGCAAAAGCGCGCUUGACUGCGAGACAGACACGUCGAGCAGGUACGAAAGUAGGUCUUAGUGAUCCGGUGGUUCUGUAUGGAAGGGCCAUCGCUCAACGGAUAAAAGGUACUCCGGGGAUAACAGGCUGAUACCGCCCAAGAGUUCAUAUCGACGGCGGUAUCGCUCAACGGAUAAAAGGUACUCCGGGGAUAACAGGCUGAUACCGCCCAAGAGUUCAUAUCGACGGCGGUGUUUGGCACCUCGAUGUCGGCUCAUCACAUCCUGGGGCUGAAGCCGGUCCCAAGGGUAUGGCUGUUCGCCAUUUAAAGUGGUACGCGAGCUGGGUUUAGAACGUCGUGAGACAGUUCGGUCCCUAUCUGCCGUGGACGUUUGAGAUUUGAGAGGGGCUGCUCCUAGUACGAGAGGACCGGAGUGGACGAACCUCUGGUGUUCCGGUUGUCACGCCAGUGGCAUUGCCGGGUAGCUAUGUUCGGAAAAGAUAACCGCUGAAAGCAUCUAAGCGGGAAACUUGCCUCAAGAUGAGAUCUCACUGGAACCUUGAGUUCCCUGAAGGGCCGUCGAAGACUACGACGUUGAUAGGUUGGGUGUGUAAGCGCUGUGAGGCGUUGAGCUAACCAAUACUAAUUGCCCGUGAGGCUUGACCAUAUAACACCCA
rnacentral:rRNA from 1 species